UCUCCGUAGGUGAACCUGCGGAGGGAUCAUUACUGAGCGAGGGUUUAACCGCCCGACCUCCAACCCUUUGUGAAUUCGACUCUGUUGCCUCGGGGGCGACCCGGCCUUCGGGCGUCGGGGCCCCCGGUGGUCCACACCUCAACUCUUGCAUCUGUGCGUCUGAGUAACAUAUUGAAUCAAUCAAAACUUUCAACAACGGAUCUCUUGGUUCUGGCAUCGAUGAAGAACGCAGC
rnacentral:misc_RNA from 1 species